rnacentral:rRNA from 1 species
AUGUGCAGGGAGGGAAAUAUUGUUAAAAUCGGUCAUCCAGGCCAUCCCAACCUACAGCAUGAGUUGUUUUCAGCUUACAAAAAAGGUAUUCAAGCAACUAACAUCCAGCAUGGUGAGAUUUGGUGGAGCAGCUCCAUUGAUAGAUGGUCCCUUCACUGGCUCUCAUGGGAUAGGCUAUCUGAACCAAAGAUUAAAGGGGGUAUGGGUUUUAGGGAGUUUGAAAAAUUGAACCUAGCCCUCCUCGGAAAACAUGGUUGGGGAGUUCUCACUCAUCCAAACUCAUUGUGUUCACGAGUUCUUAAGGGGAAGUACUUUCCAAAUUGUGAUUUUAUGCAAGCUCAAGCCCCUAAGUCUGCUUCAGCUACUUGGAAAGCAAUCGUUGAAGGCAGAGAGGCGUUGGAGCUCGGCUUAAUAAAAAGAAUUGGCAGUGGUGUAUCCAUUUCUAUAUGGAACGAUCGCUUGAUCCCAACUAUAGCAACACUUAAACCUAUGGGGAGAUUGGGUAAUGAUCUGAUUAAUCAUGUUUCAGAGCUUAUUCAUGAUCAAACCAGAACAUGGGAUGUUGAUAUGAUUCGAAGGAACUUUCUCGCACCUGAUGCCGAAGCAAUACUGAAUAUACUGGUGAGGGCAGGAGGUGGUGAGGACUCUUUGGCUUGGGCUCUUGAGCUGGUUCAUACACUGUAA